UGGGGAAUAUUGCACAAUGGAGGGAACUCUGAUGCAGCGACGCCGCGUGAGUGAUGAAGGAAUUCGUUUCGUAAAACUCUGUUCUAUGGGAAGAAAAGGACUGUACCAUAGGAGAAAGCUCCGGCUAAAUACGUGCCAGCAGCCGCGGUAAUACGUAUGGAGCGAGCGUUGUCCGGAAUUAUUGGGCGUAAAGGGUUCGCAGGCGGCUUUACAAGUUGGAUGUGAAAUAUUGUGGCUCAACCACAAACGUGCAUCCAAAACUGCAAAGCUUGAGUUAAGGAAAGGUAAGUGGAAUUCCUGGUGUAGCGGUGGAAUGCGUAGAUAUCAGGAGGAAUAACGGUGGCGAAGGCGACUUACUGGACUUAAACUGACGCUCAGGCACGAAAGCGUGGGGAGCAAACAGG
rnacentral:rRNA from 1 species